rnacentral:rRNA from 1 species
AGUGAACGCUGGCGGUAGGCCUAACACAUGCAAGUCGAACGGCAGCACAGUAAGAGCUUGCUCUUACGGGUGGCGAGUGGCGGACGGGUGAGGAUUACAUCGGAAUCUACUUUUUCGUGGGGGAUAACGUAGGGAAACUUACGCUAAUACCGCAUACGACCUACGGGUGAAAGCAGGGGAUCUUCGGACCUUGCGCGAUUGAAUGAGCCGAUGUCGGAUUAGCUAGUUGGCGGGGUAAAGGCCCACCAAGGCGACGAUCCGUAGCUGGUCUGAGAGGAUGAUCAGCCACACUGGAACUGAGACACGGUCCAGACUCCUACGGGAGGCAGCAGUGGGGAAUAUUGGACAAUGGGCGCAAGCCUGAUCCAGCCAUACCGCGUGGGUGAAGAAGGCCUUCGGGUUGUAAAGCCCUUUUGUUGGGAAAGAAAAGCAGCAGGUUAAUACCCCGCUGUUCUGACGGUACCCAAAGAAUAAGCACCGGCUAACUCCGUG